UUGUUUUCUUCUUCUUCUCUUUUUUUUUUGGGGGCAGUUUUUCAACAUGUAGUUAUAGGCUCAUUUUUCCCUAUGAUGAUUCUUUUUUAAGUCAACCUCCUCCGUGAACAUUUUUCAGUGACUCUUCACUUUUCUAACCAUUAUCUGUCUUCUCUAUUGAAUCGAAUGCUCUGAUACCAUUUUGUUAGGAACCCAGCCCCUGAUUCAUCUAAAACAAGAAAAUAAAAUACAAAAACAUAAUAAACUAAAACUAUUUCAUUAAUAAAAAAAUUACAAAGAUAAACCGAACAUUUUGAGAAGUUUGGGAGCUUUCAUUCUGAACAUUUUGAAGAGUCUGGGGCCUUCCAUUUUCUGACCAUUCGAGGCACCGGAGGCCUCCCACAAUCAGUCAAGGAUGGUUGCCUAAAUACAAACCUUAAUAUUUUUUCUUCCUCCCUCUUUUGAAACCCAAAAUAUAUAUUUAUAAUAGAGAUUGACUAUUGGAUUGAGGAAAAAUAUCCCAAUCCUAACAUAUUCAAAAAGCUAGACUUUAUCCACUUUCACUAGCUUUCAAGAGGUCAACUCUCUUCUUCAAACAACCAAAGGUUGCCCGAAAAACCUCAAUUUCACCCCUCUUCUCUCUUUUCCCAAUCUAUAUUUUAUGCUUGCUCAUUUCAUGACUACUCAUGCAUGUUUUCAUCAUGUUACAUGUUUCCUCAAUCCCACUCUUAUUCUUUCCAUUUUUCCAUGUUUUCAUAAUUGUCCAUGCUUAUAUAAAUGCUCGUGUACCACUUGUGCUCCCUAUUCCUUUUAGUGAGUCACCUAAAUCCUUGAAUCUAACAUUAUCUGUCCCUUUGAAAACCACCUUAUUCUUAUGGUGGGAAAACUAGAAAAUUCUUUAUUUCAUGAAUUGUCGGACAAAUAUCUACUUCGCAUUCUAAUCUUUCAUUAAAUUGAUCCUCACCAACCUCAUAAAUUGUAACUAAAUGAAAAAAACCAAAAAUGCAUAGUACCCAAAACAAAAUAAGAAAAGGAAAUGUGAAACAUGGCGAAAACAUGCAUGGGCAAUUAUGAAAUGAUUAAGCACAAAAUAGAGAUUGGGGGAGGAGAGAAGAGGGGUGAAGUGGGUUUUUUGGACAACCUAUGACUGAUUGAAGAAGAGAGUUGGCCUCUCAAAAGGCAGUGGAAGUGGAGAUUGUCUAGGCUCACGAAUGCUAGACAAAAAUAGGGUAUUUUGUUGGAGUUAUAUUCGGGCAAGGUAUAUUUUGUGGUUUUCAAAUACAGUUUAUUACACUUUCUUUGUUGACUCUCACAUUGGUUUAUCAUUCUAAUUAAUUGUUUACACAAUUUGUAGGGUUCCUAAGAAAUUGCUUAUUUUAUAACUGCCCAUUCGUGUAUUCACCAUAUUCCAUGUAUUCUUACUUCUCUCCUUCCUCAACUUCAUACUUAUUCUUUCCAUGUUUUCAUAAUUGUCCAUGUUUCUAUGCUUUCUUGAUUGUCCAUGCUUUCACUAUUGCUCUUGUGUGCCACUUGUCCUCCCUAUUCUCUUAUGUAGGUAGCCUAAAUCCUUGGCUCUAACAUUAUCCAUCCCUUUGAAAUAAAAAAAACCAAAAAUGCAGAAUCCCCCAGACAAAAUACAAAGGUAGUUAUGAAUAAGCAUAAAAAGAGUUGGGGAAAAAGAGAAGAGAGGGAAUUGGGUUUUUUUUUAAGCAACAUUUGGUUGAUUGAGGGAGAGAGUUGGCUUCUCGAAAGCUAGUGGAAAUAGAUAGAGUCUAGCCUCUCGAAUGCUAGAUAAGAGCAGGGCCCUUUGUUAGGGUGUUAUCGUAUUUAGGUAGGGAAUACUUUGUUACUGUCAAAUAUAAUUUAGUACACUUGCUGACUCUUACAUUGAUUAAUUGUUCCAAUUAAUUAUUUGUAGAGUUUGUUAGGUUCCUUAAAAACUGGUAUAAUAACAACUACGAUUUCUAAGGAUGGGGAGGAUCAAUUUGGUGAAAAAAAUCAAGAAAUGGAUAUCUGUCCAACAUUUCAUGAAAGAAGAGGGCUUUCCAAUUCUCCCAUCUUGAAGACAAUGUGAUCCUCAAAGUGAUGGGUAAUGUUAGAGCUAAGGAUUUAGAUGAUCUGUAAGAGAAUGAAAUAGAGAGCACAUGUGACACAUAAAGGUAGUUAUGAAAGCAUGAACAAUUUUGGGCAAUCAUGAGAACAUAGAAACAUGGGCACUUAUGGACAAUUACGUAAACAUGGAAAACAUAAGAAUUGGAUUGAGAAAGGAGAGAAGGAAAUGUGAAAUAGGGCAAAAACAUGCAUGGGCAAUUAUGAAAUGAGCAAGCAUAAAAAAGAGAUUGGGUAAGAGAGGAGGGGAGAAAUCAAGUUUUGUUUGGGCAGUCUUUCACUGACUGAGUGAGGGAGUUGUCCUCUCAAAAGCCAAUAGAGUCUAUCCUCUUGAAUGCUAGACAAGAGCAAAGUCCUGUUAGGAUCAGGACAUUUGUUCUCAAUCCAAUAGUCAAUCUCUAUUAUAAAUAUAUGUUUUAGGUUUCAAAAGAAGGAGAAGAAAAAAUAUUAAGGUUUGUAUUUAGGCAGCCAUCUUUGGUUGAUUGUGGGAGGUCUCUGGUGCUUCAAACGGUCAGAAAAUGGGAGGUCUCUGGUGCUUCAAACAGUCAGAAAAUGGGAGGUCUCGAACUCCUCAAAAUGUUUGGAAUGAAAGCUCCCGAACUCUUCAAAAUGUUCGGUUUAUCUUUGUAAUCUUUUUAUUAAUGAAAUAGUUUUAUUUUAUUAUGUUUUUGUGUUUUAUUUUCUUGUUUUAGAUGAAUUAGGGUUGGGUUUCUGAUAAAAUUGUAUCAGAGCAUUCGAUUCAAUAGGGAAGAUAGAUGAUGGUCGGAAAAGUGAAGAGUCAUCGGAAAAUGUUGACGAAGGAGGCUGACUUGAAGAAGAAUCAUCACAAAGAGAAAUGAGUUGGUGGCUAUAUGCUAGAAAAGUGCCCAAAAGAAAAAAAGAGAA